UACGUAGGCAGCAAGCGUUGUUCGGAAUUACUGGGCGUAAAGAGUGUGUAGGCGGUGCUCUAAGUUCGGUGUGAAAUCUCCCGGCUCAACUGGGAGGGUGCGCCGGAAACUGGAAUGCUUGAGCGUGGGAGAGGAAAGCGGAAUUCCUGGUGUAGCGGUGAAAUGCGUAGAUAUCAGGAGGAACACCUGCGGUGUAGACGGCUUUCUGGACCAUUGCUGACGCUGAGACACGAAAGCGUGGGUAGCAAACAAG
rnacentral:rRNA from 1 species